UGAGUUUAAACAUUCACAGCCUAUCUAUUCUGCAAAGGCAAGCUCGGGAGAGGUCACCAAGGGUGUGUGCUGGAAAAUGUGCGAUUAGAUUUGUGACCAUGGAUACAAUCAAGCCUCUCAGCAGAAGGAUGAAAUAGAGGUGCCGUUAUCCAGGAAAGACCUGUGGAGAAGCCUCAUGUCAAAUGGUGUGGAUCUCCUUGGCACCCAUGAGGACUGACAGACCUAAUGUGGAGAAAUUUUACGGGACAUGAAGACUCCAAGUGCAGAAGAAGAAAUUGUAGAAGUCCUUUGGACCAUGGGAUUUUCUUUUCCCUGAGGAUAAUGUUUUGGUCUCUUAUCAUAAAUGCUGCUUGUUAAGACUGGUAAAAUAUACGUUAAGGACUAUUACUUUUGUGACCAAAUGAUUUGUAUAUACAAACUUGUAACAUUUUAGAAUCAGAACCUCCUCUCCAGCCUCAUUUGCUCCAUUUUGGGUACUUUACCAUCCAAUGUGAACACUACAGACUCAGACUUAGAGGAAGAAGUGUGGAUAUUGAUUUCCUGGAAUGUCUCCUGUCCACCCUGUGCACCUGUGUGUGCAUCUUCUGAGUGUGACGAGUCUUCCUAUAGGAGAUAUCAGUCCCCAUAAUCAGGUCCCAAAUCACAUCAAUGUCUAGAGGUCGUGCUUUUUUUUUUUUUUUUCUGGCGAAGGGAUAAAUCUUGAGAAAUGGGCUACAGAUUUUCACUACUGACACUAGAAAUAGAUAAAAGAUCUAAUAAAACUCUCUUCCCCAUCUAUCUGUGCCUGACAGGUGGCCUUUAAUCUAUGAGCAUAAAUGCAAAAUGACUCAGUUACCAUGACCAGCAGCAGCAAUACAGGUACUCUGGGUCAGCGUCUUAUAACUUGUGUGAAGAGGAUGUAAAGACUUGAUUUAAUUCCCAGAGGAAAAAAUUGGUUCUUUGGUUUGUUUUCUCCUAUCACUGCAGAAGAACACUGCCAUCAAUACAGGAAAAAAAAUCACAUCCCCAGGGAGGUCUUUCCUGAAUAUCCCAUUUCAAAUUGCAGUCCUCCUUAAUACUCUCUGUACCCCUUUCCUACUUUCUAUUUUUCUCCAUUGUACUUACCAGCACCAGGGUAGUUCAUGUUUUACUUGUUUGGUGUACAGUCUGUUCUCCCACUGGAAAGUAAGCUACGUGAGGGCAGGGGUCUUUUUGUCUUGCUCACUGCUGUAUCCCCAGUACUCAGAACAGUGUCUAGCACACUAGAGACACUUCUCUUUGAAAUAAGUGAAUGAAUGACUUCAGCUCCAUUUUCACUGAAAUCAAGGUCAUCUGACACAAGCUCCCCUAAAUUUCCCUUCAUCUCAAUGUCUGGGUCCUUAGCCAUCUUCAUCCAACCCCUCGCCAAGACUAAGCCUUCAGCUCUGUUCGUGACUAGUCUCUUGUUCUUCUUGGAUAUUGUUGCUUCAACUACUUUCUUUCAUUCAUAUUUUUUAAUGUUUCUCUUCCAAUCCAUUCCCUUCAGCCAAAUAUAGGAAUCCUACUUAAAUCUUAAUUCUCCUUGAAAUCUCUAUAGCACCUGUCAACUCUGUCCAUGUUUACCUUGAAAUUCUUUCUAUGGCUUCUGAGAUAUUUCUUGGUUUUCUGAUUGCUUGUUCUGUCGUCACUGCCUCCUCUUCUUCCUUCUGUUCCCUAAACAGACCCCAAAUCUCUACUCCUUUUCCUUACCUUCAAUUAUCUACUCUUUGUAGGUGAUGCUUAAAAUUAGUACAUCUCCUGCUCUGUUUCUUCAAUUGAGAUCCAGUCCUGCAUGUCUAUGAUUCAUUACUUAAGCCCAAAACCUUGGAGUUGAACUCUUGAGUCUUCAUAUUUCUUUCCAUCAAUGGGUUCCACCUCAAAUUUUACUGACCCCUCUCUCCUGACAAGUGUCUUUCCACCCAUGUCCCUCUACCACAACUGCUACAAGAUAGUUCCUGUCCUUAUUCUUGGCCUACUGAAGAGGCUUUCCAAUGGCUCUUUGUUUCUAUUUGCAUCAAGUUGCUUUUCUUCAACAUAUCCAGCAUCGUAAUGCUGGAUUCAUCUUUAUAAAA